rnacentral:rRNA from 1 species
CAGUAGCCGCGGGAAAACGUAGGUGGCAAGCGUUGUCCGGAAUUAUUGGGCGUAAAGCGCGCGCAGGUGGUUUAAUAAGUCUGAUGUGAAAGCCCACGGCUCAACCGUGGAGGGUCAUUGGAAACUGUUAAACUUGAGUGCAGGAGAGAAAAGUGGAAUUCCUAGUGUAGCGGUGAAAUGCGUAGAGAUUAGGAGGAGCACCAGUGGCGAAGGCGGCUUUUUGGCCUGCAACUGACACUGAGGCGCGAAAGCGUGGGGAGCAAACAGGAUUAGAUACCCCCGUAGUCCCUGUCUCUUAUAC